CCUAAGAUAAAAUGGGGAGAAAGAAUGUAUUUAUACUUCACAAUUUCUUAUAUAUAGGUAAUUAAUUAGUUGGAGGAAAAAAAAAAGAAGAAAUUUUGGUCAAAAGGUAACCAACCAAUGUGACAUUUUACUCGAGGACCAUACGAUAUGUUCCUUAUCCUUUUAUUAAUUCUUCAAUUUAUCUAAAGAAUAAAAGUAUUCAUUAUAUAAUUCUCAUCGAUCGAAUGUAUAAUUUUUUUUCCUACAAAAUAUUAAAAUUUUCUCUCUUUUGAGGUAAACAUAUAGUCUUAAUAUUUAUUUGAUAUUAUUUCAGAUAAUAUUAUUUUAUUAUAUAUAUUAUAAUAAAAUUAUGUCUUCGUCACUGAAUCCCGCUAAGGCCAGGCAACAGAAUGGGAUGUAUCGAUAUCGAUUUUGCUAUUGUCGUGGUUCGUUUCAGUUCGAUUGUCUACGGGAUGAAAAGGAAUAUUCUAAAUCGGGACAUAGAACGGCACAUUAUCGAGGUUUGAUACCGGUGUACCGUACUGAUUUAUUUCAAUUUCGAUCAAGUUCUAAUUAACUAAUAUUUUAUCUUAAAUAAUAAAUACUAUCCAAAUAACUCAACUGCUCCUUAUAAGUAUUACAUUCGAUACUUGGUUGAAACAUAACCCUUCCUAAAAGGUGGUUGUGUAAACUAUGCACUCUACUGAUAGUUGUAAAUUGAGUUUGUAAUUUGUAAUCCAAAGUUAAU
rnacentral:lncRNA from 1 species